UUUGUUUUUUAAUUAAAAACUAGAAUGAAAGGUUAUACAUUCAAAUUUCUUUAUUAAUUUUUAAUAAAUAAUUUAUAUUAAAUAUAAAAAUAUAUUUAUAAAAAAAAAAGACGACAAGACCCUAUUAAAUUUUACUUAUAGUUUAGCUGGGGAAGCUUUUCAAUUAAAAUUUUUUAAAUUAAAUAGAUAAAAAUCUAAUAAAAUUAAAAUUUUAAUAAAUUACUAUAGGGAUAACAGCAUUAUAUUUUUUAAAAGUUCAUAUUAAAAAAAAUGAUUGUGACCUCGAUGUUGAAUUAUAUUUUCUAUAUUAAAUGCAAUAAUUAUAAAAGUAGAUCUGUUCGAUCUUUAAAAUAUUACAUGAUUUGAGUUCAAACCGGUGUAAACCAGGUUGGUUUCUAUCUUUUUAUAUAUUUUUCCAGUACGAAAGGACAAAAAAAUUUUUAUUUUAAUAAAUUAGCAAAUAAAUGCAUUAGACUUAGAAUCUAAAUAUAUUUAAUAAUU
rnacentral:misc_RNA from 1 species